AAUCACACAAAUGAUGUUUAUCAAUUUAAAACAUUUUUUUUCAAGUCAAGGAAGUCUCAGUUUGUCGUAGUAUUUAAUUUUGUGUGAAACUACUCAGUGAACUACAUCUCUCGUCUCGCACAAUUAACGUCACCAACACUAGCUAGCUAACUAACUUAGCUAUGUCCCACGCACAAAUGUAACGUUAUUUUGCCUGAUGUGUUUUAUUCAGAGACUCCUGGUCUCUUUAUCAACCGGGAAGAGAAAGAACGAUCAGACCCGUUGCUGGUGUGAGUUCAUCCCAGUAGGAAACACACAGACAUCUUAGCUUCAGAUAGAGAGACAGAGAGACGUCACUACGUAACUUUUGGGUGUGUAAUCUUUCUAAUUAGGUAUUUAUAAUCUUAUACUUCAAUAGUUUUACAACAAAUUGCGACUUUCUUGACUUGCAAAAUUAUCUUUUAUAUUGACAAACAUCAUAUGUGUGAUUCAUGGCACAAUUCAACCGGGAUC